rnacentral:rRNA from 1 species
GGAAGAAGCCCCAAUGGUAACCUUAGAUUAUUCUAAGUGUUGUAGUAGGGUAUGUCACAAACAAAUACAAUAAAAUGUGACCAUAGAGAGUUAUAGUCUCGUUAUCGAUAUUAUACUCACUAUAAACUUAGAGUAGUACUGUUUGGUAGUGCAGUAUGAAUAUAGGUGAUAUGAGUUUACCUAAGGCUAAAUACAACCAAAGACCGAUAGUGAACAAGUACUGUAAAGGAAAGUGGGGAUGUAUUCGAGCAUACCUGGUGAAAUCGAGUGAG